ACUGAAAGUGAGUAACUCUGGUGGAAUGCAUUGUGUCCGUGUAACAAAAUCCUGUGUGACAAUGGGCCAGUGAUGGACCUCCAGUUGAGCUACCCACGAUGGUCUGAACCUCAUGGCUUUCUUCCAACAGAGGCAAUGCAGACCACCUAGUUCACCAAUGGAAAGUCCCAUAUGGAAGGUCAGGACUCCAUACCCACCUGGCACUACUCACUCCAUGGAAUGGAUCAGGAGAAGAAAGCAAAGCGGGCUGCUGUUAGAAACCCCUGAGAAGCUACACUGGAGGAGCCACAUGUAAGAACUCUGGUCAACAGUCCCAGCUGGGUCCAAAUUUCCAGGCUUCUUCACCAAGGCACUAGGCACAUGAAUGAAAUCAUUUUGAACACUUAAGGCAAGCUGAUCCUCCAGCUGAGACCAGACAGUUUAUAUCAAUGACAAGAAGAGCAGAAAAUGUACCCAGCAAAUCCCCGCCCAAAUACCUGAUCCACAUCCAGGUUCUGCAUCUGUGGAUCAAAAAACCCAGACAUUGAAAAUAUUCAGAAAAAAAGACGAGAGGCUGAGGCAGGAGAAUUGCCUGAACCCAGGAAGCCGAGGUUGUGGUGAGCCGAGAUCAAGCCGUUGCACUCCAGCCUGGGUAACAAGAGCGAAACUCCAUCUCAAAAAAAUAAAAAAAUUAAAAAUAAAUAAUAAAUAAAUAAAUAAUAACAUAAACUCGAUAUCUUAUAUCUUGAAUAUAAAUGUUACAGAUAAAUCUAAAUAUUAUCUGUAUUUAAAUAAAAUAUUCAAAAUA